CCUCGCGUGUCGAGUUGUCGUCCCAUCGCGACCUCACUCCCCCAUGCUCUCCUGCACCACUCCCCUCUCCCCCAGGCCUCCUCUCCACCUGACCCAGACCGGGCGCCACCGGCAGGCCGGCUGUACUGCUUCCCUCUUCCGCCUUCAACUCAUGGACCAAUGAGGCCCCAUUGCCUCUCCUCCUGGUUACCGAGUGGAGAAGCCCGCAACGAGGGAGGCGCCAGCGGACAUGGAGAUCAAAGUUCGCUUGAUGCGAUGGUGUUCGAUCUGCAUGCGCUGGCAUUCGACCUGCUUUCAUACGGCACGGAUGAUGCGUCUCGUCCGCCCGCCCGUGCUGACGCCGAGCAACAGAAGAUGAUUGACAGAGCGAGGAGAUGAGGACUGUCAAACACGAGGAGCUUGACCUCCACCGGCGUGGCCGUAUCUCAUCGGCUCUACAAGUGCAAGCUCGGGCAGGCUGUACCAUCUCCAAUUUCUAUAGAUCCCGCUCGCGCAGGUACUGAAUCAGUUUGGUCAUAAUUUGUAGUGUGUCAGUGGCAGCACACACCACAGAGCAGGCAGGCAGGCGAAACAGUAUCUGCUAGUGGUGCUGAUGAUAGGGCAGGAGCAUAACACCACCGCUAAGGAAGAGUUAAUGAGCUCCACUGCUUAACAUAUCCCUUGGUGGAUACAGUAGAUAUCAUGGCCUAUCCUGGAGAUUGUGCUUAUUUCUUCACAUAAUGAAUCUCUGAAAUGUUAUGAAGAAAGACAGCCUUGGACAAAUGUUAAGUAAGGGCACAACCAAGUGGUAUUGUUCCUCAAUUCUGAACAUAAUGCAUUUCAUUUCAGAUUUUGUUCACUGUUACUACCGCAGUUAUUCAUUUGUCCAGUUAGUGCAUAAUUACAUUUCUUAUCAACUAACUAACCCAAGGCUAAUUAAUGAAAAGCAAUCAUUAGAACUUCUAGAAAAAGAAAGACUUUUAUGCUUUGAGCAUUUAGGUAUACUUGGGGCAAAAGGGAGCAACACAAUUCUUGUAUUUAAGCCAAACACUCAUAUAAACUACUCCAAUCCAUGUCCUAUUUGUAGUUAUUAUGGUGAACAUGGCAGCAGAUAAAGCAAUCAAGAAUUAGGAGAUGACUAUAUAUGAUAACAUGAUCA